GAGCGAGCCGUGGGGAGCAUGGCAGUAACCAGCCUUUUCCCACAGUCCCUACUCCAGUUCCUGCCUCCGAGUUCCUGCUCUGCUUGUGAGCCUGCCUUGGUUGUCCUCAGCGAUGGACCAUGAUCAGGGAUAUAUAGAGUGUCUCUAUGCUCUCACAAGAGGAGAACCUGUGAAACAGGGCAGAACUGACUAUCUCAGACUUGACCUGAAAGAUCCCUGUGAGUCAGACAGCGAGAGCCUGGUCCUGACUCCUCCGUGCAGAAGCAGUUGUGAAACUUCUGGAAACCACAGUUCCUGUGUCCCCAUCAACUGCAGCACACACCCAGCAGGUCGGCCACUGAUGGUUCGUCUGCCCUGCAGUCAGCCUGAGAGCUAAGAAAGGGCUCUGCCUCGUCCAUCAAUCCUUACCCUGUGCCCAGAUCUGGCCUGCACACAGGGGUGCGCUAUACAUCUCUGUGGUGAGGAACUCAGCCUGUCAAUCCCCACCUGCAUCAGAGUAAGGAAGCUGCAAAGAAACUCUCUGCUAGGAGAGAGUUCAGCAACUCCACCUUGAUGUCAAGCUAACAUGCAAAACUGGCCCCGGGUCUGAGAUAUAAGAAAGACUUGGGUUUCGAACUUCAAAGAACAGCCAGGACUCCGGUGAGCAGGAUCCAUGGUUUCUUUGAAAGUCACUCUUAGGAACAAAUGAAGGAGAGAAGCUAAGUGGUGGCUGUCGAUCUGAGAAGUGCCAGGUUCCACCUGGGCACCUCACACACUGCAUCUCCGUGAGCUUUGAAGAAUGUGGGAAGCACCUGCCUUAUGGGGAUUGGAAGAGCAAAGGCUGACAGGUCUGCGGUGGUCCCGGGAUACAGGUCAGCUGUUCAGAAGUGUGCCCAACAUGUUAAAUGCUGGUUUCCUGGGCUCUCUGCCACUCUCAUCUCAGAGAUCUUGGGGCCUGAGUGUGAGAGACAAGUAACAGAAAGAUGAACGGAGAAGGACAAAUACAGUGGAUGCACUAUUUAUUUCCUGGGACCUUGCUUCUGUUGUACCUUGUUAAUCCUACGCUGUGGGUUGAAUUGAUGCUUUACAAGCUCACAAUAUACAGUUUUAUGAGUCC
ensembl:antisense Gm15412 predicted gene 15412